GACGAACGCUGGCGGCGUGCCUAAUACAUGCAAGUAGGACGCAGUUGCGAACGGGUGAGUAACGCGUAGGUAACUGCCUCUUAGAGGGGGAUAACUAUUGGAAACGAUAGCUAAUACCGCAUACUAGUAGAUGGACCUGCGUUGUAUUAGCUAGUAGGUCGGGUAAUGGCCUACCUAGGCAACGAUACAUAGCCGACCGUGGGGGGUGAUCGGCCAACCUGGGGCUGAGACACGGCCCAGACUCCUACGGGAGGCAGCAGUAGGGAAUCUUCGGCAAUGGGGGGAACCCUUACCGAGCAACGCCGCAGGAGUGAAAAAAGUUUUCGGAUCGUAAAGCUCUGUUGUUAAGGGAGCGGUACUUAACCAGAAAGGGACGGCUAACUACGUGCCAGCAGCCGCGGUAAUAC
rnacentral:rRNA from 1 species